rnacentral:rRNA from 1 species
CCUACGGGAGGCAGCAGUGGGGAAUAUUGGACAAUGGGCGAAAGCCUGAUCCAGCCAUGCCGCGUGUGUGAAGAAGGCCUUCGGGUUGUAAAGCACUUUCAGUGGGGAAGAAAGCCUUGGGGCUAAUACCCUCGAGGAAGGACAUCACCCACAGAAGAAGCACCGGCUAACUCCGUGCCAGCAGCCGCGGUAAUACGGAGGGUGCGAGCGUUAAUCGGAAUUACUGGGCGUAAAGCGCGCGUAGGCGGUCUGAUAAGCCGGUUGUGAAAGCCCCGGGCUCAACCUGGGAACGGCAUCCGGAACUGUCAGGCUAGAGUGCAGGAGAGGAAGGUACAAUUCCCGGUGUAGCGGUGAAAUGCGUAGAGAUCGGGAGGAAUACCAGUGGCGAAGGCGGCCUUCUGGACUGACACUGACGCUGAGGUGCGAAAGCGUGGGUAGCAAACAGGAUUAGAUACCCCAGUAGUC